rnacentral:rRNA from 1 species
CUGCGCCACGAGUGGUAAUCAUUAUUAUUGGGCCUAAAGCGUCCGUAGCUGGUUUGUUAAAUCUUUUGUGAAAUCGUUGUGCUUAACAUAACGGCGUGCAGAAGAAACUGGCAAACUUGGGACUGGAAGGAGUCAGAGGUAUUCUUGGGGGAGCGGUAAAAUGCUAUAAUCCUAAGAGGACCACCUGUGGCGAAGGCGUCUGACCAGUACAGAUCCGACAGUGAGGGACGAAAGCCAGGGGAGCGAACCGGAUUAGAUACCCGCGUAGUCC